rnacentral:rRNA from 1 species
AGUGGGUGCGAGCAUCUUUGUGGCCAAGUUUUUUAGGGCACAUGGUGGAUGCCUUGGUACCAGGGGCCGAUGAAGGACGUGGUAGGCCGCGAUAGUCCUCGGGGAGUUGUCAAACGAGCUGUGAUCCGAGGGUGUCCGAAUGGGGAAACCCAGCCCGAGUGAUGUCGGGUUACCAAUGCCUGAAUGUAUAGGGUGUUGGGGGGAACGCGGGGAAGUGAAACAUCUUAGUACCCGUAGGAAGAGAAAACACUGGUGAUUCCGUGAGUAGUGGCGAGCGAAAGCGGAGGAGGCUAAACCGUGCGCGUGGGAUACCUGGUAGGGGUUGCGUGUGCGGGGUUGUGGGACGCUGCUGGGAGGAUCUACCAGUUCUCCAGCGUGGGUGUGCGUGUUAGUCGAACAGGUUGGGAUGCCUGACCAGAGUCGGUGAGAGUCCGGUAGGCGAAAAUGCGUGUGCCGCGUGUGGUGGUGUUCCCGAGUAGCAGCGCUUUCGUGGAGGGUGCUGUGAAUCUGGCGGGACCACUCGCUAAGCCUAAAUACUUCCUGGUGACCGAUAGUGGAUAGUACCGUGAGGGAAUGGUGAAAAGUACCCCGGGAGGGGAGUGAAAUAGUUCCUGAAACCAUGUGCCUGCAAUCCGUCAGAGCAACCGUUGCAGUUGUGAUGGCGUGCCUUUUGAAGAAUGAGCCUGCGAGUUACUGCUGCGUGGCGAGGUUAACCCGUUGGGGGUAGCCGGAGCGAAAGCGAGUCUGAAUAGGGCGUGGAGUCGCGUGGUGUAGACCCGAAGCGGGGUGAUCUACCCAUGGCCAGGGUGAAGCGCGGGUAAGACCGUGUGGAGGCCCGAACCCACCAGGGUUGAAAACCUGGGGGAUGAGCUGUGGGUAGGGGUGAAAGGCCAAUCAAACUCCGUGAUAGCUGGUUCUCCCCGAAAUGCAUUUAGGUGCAGCGUCGCAUGGUGCUUGGGUGGGGUAGAGCACUGGUUGGUUGAUGGGCCUUCACGGGUUACUGAGAUCAGCCAAACUCCGAAUACGCCUGAGUUGAGUGUGGCAGUGAGACGGCGGGGGAGAAGCUUCGUCGUCGAGAGGGAAACAGCCCAGAGCAUCGGCUAAGGCCCCUAAGUGUGCGCUUAGUGGGAAAGGAUGUGGGAUCGCUGAGACAACCAGGAGGUUGGCUUAGAAGCAGCCAUCCUUGAAAGAGUGCGUAAUAGCUCACUGGUCAAGUGGUCCUGCGCCGACAAUGUAGCGGGGCUGAAGCGCACCGCCGAAGCCAUGCCAGUCCAGUUUUGUGCUGGGUUGGGUAGGGGAGCGUCCUGCACGAGGUGAAGCGCCGGCGUGAGCUUGGUGUGGAUUGUGUGGGAGUGAGAAUGCAGGCAUGAGUAGCGAGUGAAGAGUGAGAAUCUCUUCCGCCGGAUGACCAAGGGUUCCUGGGGAAGGUUCGUCCGCCCAGGGUGAGUCGGGGCCUAAGGCGAGGCCGACAGGCGUAGUCGAUGGAUAACGGGUUGAUAUUCCCGUACCCGUGCAUGUGCGCCCAUGAUGAGGUCUUUGAUGCUAACCAUCCGCGUGCUGCUGGAUUCUUCGGAUGAUGGUGGUGUGUGCAUGGGACCCGAUUGGAUAGUAGUCAAGUGAUGGGGUGACGCAGGAGGGUAGCUCUGCCAGUGAGUGGUUGUACUGGUGUAAGCCUGUAGCCCGGUGUGUAGGUAAAUCCGCAUGCCGUUGUGGGUGAGAGGUGAUGCGUAGCCGUUGUGGUGAAGUGAGUGAUCCCAUGCUGCCGAGAAAAGCCUCUAGCGAGUGUGUGCACGGCCCGUACCCGAAACCGACACAGGUGGUCAGGUAGAGAAUACCGAGGCGGUCGGGUGAACUGUGGUUAAGGAAUUCGGCAAAUUGCCCCCGUAACUUUGGGAGAAGGGGGGCCACUGCUGGUGAACGCCCUUUGCGGUGGGAGCUGGUGGUGGUCGCAGAGGCCAGGGAGAAGCGACUGUUUACUAAAAACACAGGUCCAUGCGAAGCUGUAAGGCGAUGUAUAUGGACUGACGCCUGCCCGGUGCUGGAACGUUAAGAGGACCCGUAAAGCCCCUUUUGGGGUGUAGCGGAGAAUUUAAGCGCCAGUAAACGGCGGUGGUAACUAUAACCAUCCUAAGGUAGCGAAAUUCCUUGUCGGGUAAGUUCCGACCUGCACGAAUGGCGUAACGACUUCUCCGCUGUCUCGACCACAGGCCCGGUGAAAUUGCAGUACGAGUAAAGAUGCUCGUUUCGCGCGGCAGGACGGAAAGACCCCGGGACCUUUACUAUAGCUUGGUAUUGGUGUUUGGUUCGGCUUGUGUAGGAUAGGUGGGAGACUGGGAAGCAUUCACGCUAGUGGGUGUGGAGUCGUUGGUGAAAUACCACUCUGGUCGUUCCGGGCAUCUAACUCGGGUCCGUGAUCCGGAUCGGGGACAGUGCCUGGUGGGUAGUUUAACUGGGGCGGUUGCCUCCUAAAGGGUAACGGAGGCGCCCAAAGGUUCCCUCAGCCUGGUUGGCAAUCAGGUGUUGAGUGUAAGUGUAUAAGGGAGCUUGACUGUGAGACUGACGGGUCGAGCAGGUGCGAAAGCAGGGACUAGUGAUCCGGCACUGGCUGGUGGAAGCGGUGUCGCUCAACGGAUAAAAGGUACCCCGGGGAUAACAGGCUGAUCUUGCCCAAGAGUCCAUAUCGACGGCAUGGUUUGGCACCUCGAUGUCGGCUCGUCGCAUCCUGGGGCUGGAGUUGGUCCCAAGGGUUGGGCUGUUCGCCCAUUAAAGCGGCACGCGAGCUGGGUUUAGAACGUCGUGAGACAGUUCGGUCCCUAUCCGCCGCGCGCGUAGGAGACUUGCGGAAGGCUGUCCCUAGUACGAGAGGACCGGGACGGACGAACCUCUGGUGUGCCAGUUGUUCUGCCAAGAGCACGGCUGGUUGGCUAUGUUCGGGAGGGAUAACCGCUGAAAGCAUCUAAGCGGGAAGCCUGUUCCUAGAUGAGGUCUCCCACCCCUUUGUGGGUUAAGGCCCCCGGUAGAUGACCGGGUUGACAGGCCGGAUGUGGAAGCACAGCAAUGUGUGGAGCUGACCGGUGCUGAUAGGCCGAGGACUUGUCCAC